GACGAACGCUGGCGGCGUGCUUAACACAUGCAAGUCGAACGGAAAGGCCCUGCUUUUGUGGGGUGCUCGAGUGGCGAACGGGUGAGUAACACGUGAGUAACCUGCCCUUGACUUUGGGAUAACUUCAGGAAACUGGGGCUAAUACCGGAUAGGGGCUCCUGCUGCAUGGUGGGGGUUGGAAAGUUUCGGCGGUUGGGGAUGGACUCGCGGCUUAUCAGCUUGUUGGUGGGGUAGUGGCUUACCAAGGCUUUGACGGGUAGCCGGCCUGAGAGGGUGACCGGCCACAUUGGGACUGAGAUACGGCCCAGACUCCUACGGGAGGCAGCAGUGGGGAAUAUUGCACAAUGGGCGGAAGCCUGAUGCAGCAACGCCGCGUGCGGGAUGACGGCCUUCGGGUUGUAAACCGCUUUCGCCUGUGACGAAGCGUGAGUGACGGUAAUGGGUAAAGAAGCACCGGCUAACUACGUGCCAGCAGCCGCGGUGAUACGUAGGGUGCGAGCGUUGUCCGGAUUUAUUGGGCGUAAAGGGCUCGUAGGUGGUUGAUCGCGUCGGAAGUGUAAUCUUGGGGCUUAACCCUGAGCGUGCUUUCGAUACGGGUUGACUUGAGGAAGGUAGGGGAGAAUGGAAUUCCUGGUGGAGCGGUGGAAUGCGCAGAUAUCAGGAGGAACACCAGUGGCGAAGGCGGUUCUCUGGGCCUUUCCUGACGCUGAGGAGCGAAAGCGUGGGGAGCGAACAGGCUUAGAUACCCUGGUAGUCCACGCUGUAAACGGUGGGUACUAGGUGUGGGGUCCAUUCCACGGGUUCCGUGCCGUAGCUAACGCUUUAAGUACCCCGCCUGGGGAGUACGGCCGCAAGGCUAAAACUCAAAGGAAUUGACGGGGCCCCGCACAAGCGGCGGAGCAUGCGGAUUAAUUCGAUGCAACGCGUAGAACCUUACCUGGGUUUGACAUGGAUCGGGAGCGCUCAGAGAUGGGUGUGCCUCUUUUGGGGUCGGUUCACAGGUGGUGCAUGGCUGUCGUCAGCUCGUGUCGUGAGAUGUUGGGUUAAGUCCCGCAACGAGCGCAACCCUUGUUCACUGUUGCCAGCACGUUAUGGUGGGGACUCAGUGGAGACCGCCGGGGUCAACUCGGAGGAAGGUGGGGAUGACGUCAAGUCAUCAUGCCCCUUAUGUCCAGGGCUUCACGCAUGCUACAAUGGCUGGUACAGAGAGUGGCGAGCCUGUGAGGGUGAGCGAAUCUCGGAAAGCCGGUCUCAGUUCGGAUUGGGGUCUGCAACUCGACCUCAUGAAGUCGGAGUCGCUAGUAAUCGCAGAUCAGCAACGCUGCGGUGAAUACGUUCCCGGG
rnacentral:rRNA from 1 species